UACGUAGGGCGCAAGCGUUGUCCGGAAUUAUUGGGCGUAAAGAGCUCGUAGGCGGCUUGUCACGUCGGGUGUGAAAGCCCGGGGCUUAACCCCGGGUCUGCAUUCGAUACGGGCUAGCUAGAGUGUGGUAGGGGAGAUCGGAAUUCCUGGUGUAGCGGUGAAAUGCGUAGAUAUCUGGAGGAACACCGGUGGCGAAGGCGGCAUCCUGGACCAACACUGACACUGAUGAGCGAAAGCGUGGGGAGCAAACAGG
rnacentral:rRNA from 1 species